rnacentral:rRNA from 1 species
AACGAACGCUGGCGGCAGGCCUAACACAUGCAAGUCGAACGAACCGUUUACGGUGAGUGGCGCACGGGUGAGCAACACGUGGGAAUAUACAUUUCGGUAAGGAAUAACGUAGAGAAAUUUACGCUAAUACCUUAUAAUGACUACGGUCCAAAGAUUUAUCGCCGAAGGCGUAGCCCGCGUUAGAUUAGGUAGUUGGUAGGGUAAUGGCCUACCAAGCCUACGAUCUAUAGCUGGUCUUAGAGGAUGAUCAGCCACACUGGAACUGAGACACGGUCCAGACUCCUACGGGAGGCAGCAGUGAGGAAUAUUGCGCAAUGGGGGAAACCCUGACGCAGCCAUGCCGCGUGAGUGACGAAGGCCUUAGGGUUGUAAAGCUCUUUCAGAUGUAAAGAUAAUGACGGUAACAUCAGAAGAAGCUCCGGCUAAAUUCGUGCCAGCCGCCGCGGUAA